AUUGAACGCUGGCGGCAUGCUUUACACAUGCAAGUCGAACGGCAGCGCGGGCUUCGGCCUGGCGGCGAGUGGCGAACGGGUGAGUAAUACAUCGGAACGUGCCCAGUAGUGGGGGAUAGCUCGGCGAAAGCCGGAUUAAUACCGCAUACGACCUGAGGGUGAAAGCGGGGGAUCUUCGGACCUCGCGCUAUUGGAGCGGCCGAUGGCAGAUUAGCUAGUUGGUGGGGUAAAGGCCUACCAAGGCGACGAUCUGUAGCUGGUCUGAGAGGACGACCAGCCACACUGGGACUGAGACACGGCCCAGACUCCUACGGGAGGCAGCAGUGGGGAAGUUUGGACAAUGGGCGAAAGCCUGAUCCAGCAAUGCCGCGUGUGUGAUGAAGGCCUUCGGGUUGUAAAGCACUUUUGGCGGGAACGAAAAGGACUGUGCCAAUACCACGGUUCGAUGACGGUACCCGCAGAAUAAGCACCGGCUAACUACGUG
rnacentral:rRNA from 1 species